CCUACGGGAGGCAGCAGUAGGGAAUAUUGCUCAAUGGGGGAAACCCUGAAGCAGCAACGCCGCGUGGAGGAUGAAGGUUUUCGGAUUGUAAACUCCUUUUGUUAGAGAAGAUAAUGACGGUAUCUAACGAAUAAGCACCGUCUAACUCCGUGCCAGCAGCCGCGGUACUACGGAGGGUGCAGGCGUUACUCGGAAUUACUGGGCGUAAAGAGCGCGUAGGCGGGAUAGCAAGUCAGAUGUGAAAUCCUAUGGCUUAACCAUAGAACUGCAUUUGAAACUGUUAUGCUAGAGUAUGGGAGAGGUAGGUGGAAUUCGUGGUGUAGGGGUGAAAUGCGUAGAUAUCAAGAGGAAUACUGAUUGCGAAGGCGACCUACUGGAACGUAACUGACGCUGAUGCGCGAAAGCGUGGGGAGCGAACAGGAUUAGAUACCCGUGUAGUC
rnacentral:rRNA from 1 species